AGAUUGAACGCUGGCGGCAGGCCUAACACAUGCAAGUCGAGCGGUAGAGAGGUGCUUGCAUCUCUUGAGAGCGGCGGACGGGUGAGUAAUGCCUAGGAAUCUGCCUAGUGGUGGGGGAUAACGUUCGGAAACGGACGCUAAUACCGCAUACGUCCUACGGGAGAAAGCGGGGGACCUUCGGGCCUCGCGCCAUUAGAUGAGCCUAGGUCGGAUUAGCUA
rnacentral:rRNA from 1 species